rnacentral:sRNA from 1 species
GCCAGGUGUGGUGGUGCACAUCUGUAAUCCCAGCUACUUGGGAGGCUGAAGCAGGAGGAUCACCAAAUUCAAGGCCAGCCUCAGUCUCAG